AUUAGGAAAAAAUCAUGUACAAAAGACUCUUUAUGAAAGAACACAGUGAUAAUGCAAACCAAGAAUGCAAAGUUGAUAUUGUGAAUAACUAACAGGCAUCAGGAUAAUAACAAAUCUGUUUCAGAGCUGCUGAGUCAUUUCACCCUCCCAAGUAAAUGUGUGCUGCAGUUAUAAAAACGAAACUGAAAACGGAUGACUGGAAAAAAUGCAAUGUAGCCUAGGACCAGAAUGCAAUUCCCAAAUGAGAAAAGCAUCCUGUGUCCAAUUGAGAAAUGGGCUUUAGAACUAAAGACAGAACUCUCAACAGAGG